CCAGCCUCCUUGAACCCUUUCUCUGUUUCUCUCUCGAAGCCGUGCCGCCACCACGGGAAGGGAGCAAGCGCGCCUCCCGAAUUCCGCAGCACCACUCUUCAACGUCUCAUCAACGACUCCUCAACGUCGCGGACAUGGAGGCGGCGGCGGCCUCCGACGAAACCCUAGCCGCCGUCUUCGCCCAGCUCAAGCCCCACACCGUCGCCCUCCUCGACCUCCUCCGCAGCCGCGGGGGCUCCGGCUCCCGAUCCAGCCCCUCCGCCGCCGCCGCCGCCGCAUCCUCGCUCCGCGCUAUGGCCGCGUUCCUCCGCUCGGCCCCAGCCCCCGCCCUGCAGCUAUGCUUCGAUUAUACAGUCUUUCCAUUGCUCCUGCUCCUGGAUGCGGCGGUGCAGUGCAGGAAGGAAGGCAAUGCCCCAGGACAGAGUGCGGGGGACCUUCACAUCACUGAUGCCGUCGUCGAAGGUGGGCUGGCCUGCCUCGAGGUGCUUCUCACCAAGUGCCGCCUCACCUCGGUCAAUCAGAUGGUCGCCAUGCUGAAAAAGUUGACUUCCGGGGCUAUGCUUUCACCUUUGGAGGCUUCAGAGGAAUUCCGCGGGGGAAUCAUAAGAUGCUUCAGAGCCAUGGUUUUGCAGUUACAGCCAUGCUUGGACCGCUCUUGUUCUUGCAAGCAAGCAACAGUGUUGCCUGCAAUCCCAACCAGUACAAGCUUGGAAGUUGGAAGUGUAGUUCGCUCAAAGUACUCUGCACAGCCAGAGGAGUGCUUGCUUGCAUUCCUUCGGUCGCAAAAUGCUUCAGCUGCUGUGGGACACUGGCUCUCACUUCUUCUCCAGGCAUCAGAACUUGAGGCAUCAAGGGGGCACCGUGGAAGUGCAGAUGUUAGAAAGGAAUCGCUGCACACGCUGCGCAUUCUUAUUGCCAAGAUAGGUUCUGCUGAUGCACUUGCCUUUUUCCUUCCUGGAAUUGUCAGUCGCCUUGGAAAGGUUCUCUACACAUCUAAGAUUAUGAUUACUGGUGCUGCUGGUAGUUCUUUGAGCAUUGAGCAAGCCAUUCUAGGAUUGACUGAGGCUUUGAUGAUAGUCCUAAAUGACAAGGAAAAUUUUAGCGCACUUUAUAUACCUAUAAAUGAGAAUUGUGCUCAUUCUUCUGGCCACAGUGGUUCAACUGAGCAUGUAUUGCAAAUGCUUCGCCAAUUACCAACCAAAAGUCUAUCUGAACAGAUAGUCCAUGAUGAAGCUUCAGGCGACUCUACCUCUGAUGUCAAUAAUUCUUCUGCUGAUAGAAAGGCACUAAAUGUAAAGCGGACCAAAAAAUGGCUUGAAGAAACAACUAGCAAUGUUGAUAAAUUGCUUUCUGCCACAUUCCCACAUCUUUCUAUUCACUCAUCUGAGAAGGUGAGGAGGUCGGUGGUUAGUGGUGUAAGAGGGCUUUUGUCUACUUGCUGCUGUACAUUAAAGAGAAGCAAGAUGCUACUUGUGGAAUGCUUAUGUGCUCUGGCAUGUGAUGAUGCUGCAGCUGUGUCUGAGGCUGCACAAGAUGCUCUCGAUUAUCUUUUUAAGCAGGGCCACAAUUUUAUAACAGAAAAUGAGGUUUCUGAUAUUUUUACCAGGUUAGUUGAAAGGUUACCGCAAGUGGUACUUGGAAGUGAGGAGAUAACUGCGCUUUCACAUGCCAGGAGGUUGCUGGCUCUGACCUUUUUUGCAGGCCCUCAGUUUCUGAUAAAUCAUCUUCACCGUUCUCCUGUUAUUGCUGCUCGUUUCUUUGAUUGUUUGGGUUUAUGCAUAAGCCAUAGCUCACAGUUCUCUGGUUCCAUGGACAAGCUAAUUGUAUCAAAGCCACUGUCCGUUGGGUUUCUUUAUUCAGUUGCUGAGUUGAAGAGUGGCGCCUAUUCUAAAGAUAUGACUCAUAGUUCUCUGCAUGCCAAGUCUACAUCUGCAGCCUCCAAAAUAUCUGUUAUCCAAGAUAAUGGUUUGCCAAAUGCAAUACUCUAUACAGUUGAAUAUGAGUUGCCCCAUGUACCACCAUGGUUUGUUCACACUGGUAGUCAGAAACUUUACUUGGCUCUUGCUGGAAUAAUUAGACUUGUUGGUCUAUCAACAGUUUCAGGGGAAGAAACUGGUGCAUCCUUAUCUGUUUUUGUUGAUAUUCUACUCGAUCAAUUUAGGAGGUUGAGCACUGAGCUGCGUGCCAAAGAUAUUUACAAAGACAGUUUGCAGAGGUGGUACAUGAGAAGUGAGGCUGGACAAACACUGCGCCAGGCAAGUUCAGCUGUUUGCAUGCUCAACGAGCUUAUGUAUGGUUUGUCAGAUCGAUCCCUUGGUAUGUUUUUACAACUGUUCAAGAAGAGAUCAGCACAGAUGAUAAGGACAGCUUGUCAGAAUGAUCAAUUAAUUGCUUGUGUUAAACAUGACGAAGUUACUAAUGAAAGAGAUAUCUGGGGAUUUAAUGAACGAAAGGGCACUAAAGACAGCAUUCUUCAUUGCAUUGGUAGUAUUCUGCAUGAAUAUGUAUCUCCUGAAGUGUGGGAUCUUCCAACAGAGAAUGACACUGAGCUAUGCCUAACAGAGUUGAACCUGCCAUUGCACUUCUUCCGUGAUACAACUGCGUUGCAUACAAUAAUGAUAGAAGGAAUUGGAAUCUUGGGUGUUGUUCUUGGUCAAGAUUUUGCACGUAGUGGGUUCAUGCACUCUUCCCUUUAUCUUCUGCUCCGUGAGCUUAUCAGCUCAAGUGCUCAGAUAAGAAUCGCGUCAGAUGCUGUCUUAAGAGCACUUGCUGCUGCUGGCGGACAUUAUUCGGUUGGCCAAUUUGUUGUCGCAAAUGCAGAUUACAUUGUUGACUCUAUUUGCAGACAGUUGCGUCACUUGGACCUGAACCCCCAUGUUCCUGAUGUUCUUGCUUCCAUGCUGUGUUACAUUGGUGCUUCUCAUGAUAUUUUACCUUUCUUGGAAGAACCGAUGCGAGUGGUUUCCUCCGAGCUGGAGGUUCUUGGCAGACAUGACCACCCACAUCUAACUGUUCCAUUCCUGAAGGCGGUUUCUGAGAUUGCCAAGGCAUGUGGACAUGAAUCUACUAGUUUGCCAGAUGAGGCUCAGUCAUUUUAUGGGAAGGCCAGUUCUGAAGGUCAAGCAGUCCAAACUAUGGUUGAAAAGAGAAUGGAAUCCAGUGCAAUGUCUGAAAGAAUGAAUGUUGAUGCUCAACCUGAUUUUAUGAGCUUGGAAUAUUGGGAAGAUUUACUUUGUAAGCUGGAUGAGAUGAGAAGAUAUAGGAGAAUAGUUGGAUCUCUUGCUGGCUCUUGCUUGUCAGCUGUCACCCCACUUCUUUCUUCAAGAAAGGAAACAGCCUGUCUUGUGGCCCUUGAAGUUGUUGAGAACGCUAUUAUAUCUAUCGCCAAGGUUGAGGAGGCUUAUAAGUGUGAAAAUCGAAGCAAAGCAGUUAUUGAGGAGGCCAUUCAGUUUCUGUCAUUUGAUGAACUUGAUGGUACAGAUGCCACCGAAGAUGCUGAUGAGAAUAGAUUACUCCCAGCUAUGAACAAACUAUGGCCGUACUUGAUUAUCUGUCUAAGGAACAAGAUCUCAGUGCCGGUUGUUAGAAAGUGCACUGAAGUAUUGAGUAGAGCAAUUGGUAUAUCUGGUGGUGAUUUUUAUGUACGCCGGUUUCAUAAGGAUGGAUCUAUUGUUUGGAGAUUGUUGGCUUUAUCUCCAUUCCGUCGAAAAAGAAUGUUGCUGAUGGAUGAAAAAGCAAUCAUUUUACCAUAUAGGGAUACCUCGCUUACCUCAGAGGAACCUAUGGCUGAGAUCUCCAGCCAAAAGGUUCAGAUUGCAGUCCUGGACAUGAUAGCUGAAAUAUCUUCCAACAAGAGAAGCGCUAUUGCAUUAGAAAGUGUGCUAAAGAGGGUUUGUGGCCUUGUGGUAGGUAUUGCCUACAGUAAUUUGACAGGUUUGCGAGAAGCUGCUAUAAGGGCAUUGGCAGGACUUGCCUGUAUGGAUGCUGACCUUGUCUGGCUUCUCCUGGCGGAUGUGUAUUAUUCACUAAACCAAAGGGAUAGACCUUUGACACCCAACCAAGAUCUGGUGGAGAUAUCUGAUCUUUUACCCCCUCCAAUGUCUUCAAGAGAAUACCUUUUUGUGCAGUACGGAGGUGAGGGUGUCAGAUGUGAUGUAGAUCCCUCAUCUGUGCAUGAGGUGUUCAAAAGGAUGCAGGAUGCGGGCUUAACAUGAAAUCUGGUUUGUUGAUCCUCUCUGUUUUUUACCUUGCCAAAGGCAUUUUGUGUCAUGCUGACAGCCCUUAUACAUCGAACAUAUCAUUACCUGCACUGGCAAAUGGAAUGACGAUGAAGGAUGAAUUGGAGUUACCGAGUAACAUCUUCUCAAUAUGUGAUGUUGCUAUUGGAUAGAUCAAUGGCAUUAAGCUUCCUUGCUGGAAUCUGUGAAGAAUGUGAUCUGUUUGUAUCAAGUUUAUUAGCAUGUGUAAACGUCAAAGUUCUCCACAAUUUUGGCAGCAAGGAGCAGUAACAAUUACGACACAAGGCAAAGAACAGGACGGUUUUCUGAUAAGAAUAGUUCUGUAAUUAUAUUGGGGAAACUUGUAUCUUGUGUGAAGUUUAAUUAUGUAAAGAAAAAGUUAAGAUAUACCAAGUUCCAUUUUUUGUAA